AUAGAUUCCAAGUACCAUAGUUAAAGAUUCCAAAGUAAAAAGUUUGUUCUAAUUAUUUAGUUAAAAGUUUUGAAAUUUUGAUAGGAAAUUUUAUUUGGUCCAGAGGGAUAUUGAAAAAGGAAAAUUAAUUACUGCAUUAAUUACUGCAUUAAGCUUUAAUAAAACUCAUGGAUUUUAUUAAAGUUUUAGAGAAAAUCUCUACAGGGAAAAUUUAUUCAUGUAAUAAUAAUAGAUCAUAUAUUCUAACUGUUAUUUUGUUCCCCUUGACGUGCUCAUGAAUUUCUUGGCUUUCAUGUAGGUUAUGCAGAGAAUGAUAUACGUGCUGAAUUUUUGUAUGAUUAUAGAAGGAAAGAGUUAGGCUUUGCUAUAUAUUAGGUGAUAUGUUUUAGGAUCAGUCCUAUUCAUGUGGCUCAGUAUUUUUCGAACCACAAGAAUUAUCUUAGACACAUGCAUUGGAAAUAAUAGAGCACUAGGUGCAGAGUAAUAUAAUUGGUUGUUGAAGUAAUGUAUAUGCCUGCCAGUCUUCAAUAAUGUUGUCCAAAUCUUGGAAAUUUUGCCAUAAUUUUUCACAUAUGGAUGAUCUUGGAGGUAUGUUGCAAUGUAAUGUUUGGACAAAGGUACCCAAAUAAUGAAAAACGAAGAUGUCGCUUGCUUGAAGACAAUCGUAGAUUCUGGACAGACAAACUAUCUUGGAAAAUAGUCUGUUCAUACUAACAGUACAAG